CCUAUACUAAAAGGGAUAUAUAAUCAUCAGAGAAGGUGUCCACGUCAGCCAAUUAAAUCGACCAAUGAGAGAGUUUCAAUAUGACAGGUCACGUAAGCUUCUUCGACUUUAACGUGUAAUCAACUCCGGCGCUUCCACUCCUUGCAAAUUACUGUUUUUUUUCUUUGAAUUAAUCACGAUCCAAUCCUUCUCUCCAUUGCUCACUAUUUCUCCGAAUCCUUGAACCACCGCAAUGAUGGUCCUAAAACGCUCCAAAUCGUCGAUCUCUGACGGUUUACUUCUACAAAGUCGCCGCCGGUCAAGUCGAUUCAGUUUUGAGAAGCCCAUAAUCUCGCUAAAGUAGGGGUGCUAAAGUAGGGGUGCUAAUUUCGCCUUCAGCUGCUUCUGAUUGACAAAUAGUUUUUCUGGGAAUCCACACAUUGCUUUUGAACCAGUCAAUCGAAAUCGAAAUGGGUGUUUCAGAAAUGCAUUCGUAGAGUUUUAUUUUGUGCCAGACCUUUCAAGGUCUCUAAUGCCAUAACUCUUUGAGGGUUUCUGCAUCGACUAUAACAAGAGUUUGAUAAACAGGUUCUUGAUGGGACUAACUGAACUCCUUCUUGAACCAUCUCUUACAUUCAUGAUUCUGACACUAUUUAUGAACCUCAUAACAUCUGACGAAGGGACAAUAUAACUCGCAAUUUAAGUUAUAUGCUGGAGAUUGUUGACCAACACAAACCAAGAAUUUCGCUGCAGUGGCAUGUGUUGCAUAAGAAUUUUGGAAGAGUUCCACGGAUAUAUUGAAAGAACUAAGGCCAAUCAAAGAAUCUGGCUCAGCCGAAGAUUUUGAGAAAGAGGCGCUGAUUCAGCGGUUUCGAGGCUGCUCAAGCUCAGGAAAAAAUUAUAACAAUGAAAGUAAGAUCGUACGGAGAUUUAGAACUUCCCCUGCAGCUGAAGAAAUCAUAAGCCAGUUCACUUUUUUACACACAGCUCCUCAACAAUGGGAACUUUGUAGACGCUGCUUCUGGUAAGACGCUGCCUACUCUUGAUCCACGCAUAGAGGGAGUUAUUGCGAACAUAGCUGAAAGUCGAUGCUGAAGAUAUAGACUGGGCGGUGAAAGCCACAAGCCUGCAAGGAAGGCCAUCGAUGAAGGACCAUGGCAAAAGAUAAUUGCUUAUUUUUCAGGAACAGCGAAAAGCUUGCAGCUAUAAGACAUGGGACGAUGGGAAGACUUAUGAACAAGCCAAAACAGCAGAGAUUCCAAUGCUCGCCAGAUUCUUUCGCUAUUAUGCUGGAUGGGCAGAUAAGAUUCGUGGGCUAACUAUUUCAGCCGAUGGAAACAAUCAUGUCCAGACACUGCAUGAACCAAUAGGCAUUGCUGGUCAGAACAUUCCAUGGAACUUUCCACUUCUGAUGUUUCCUUGGAAAGUUGUUCCUACUCUUGCUUGUGGUAACACCAUUGUCCUCAAAAAGCUGAACAAACUCAUUGCACUGCUUUUUACGUCUGCAAGCUUUUUUUUGAAGCAUGUCUUUCUCCAACAACACCUCCUGUUCUGUGGGUUGUAGUGAGGUGGAACCAUCCAUAAAGCUACUGUUGCAUGCCUACUAUUGGACUGGCAUCUUAUAAGCUCAAAGUAUCUGUGUGGAACCAAAACAGAGCUCAAGAGUGCCACAAGCUCUCUUCUUUGCAACAAGCUGUAAAUAAAUGGCUUGAGCGUCUGCAAGUCGACCAGCCGGACUACAAUUUCUACAUCUGC